AGCGAAUAGAUACCCUGGUAGUCCACGCCCUAAACGAUGGAUACUAGGCGUAGGAGGUAUCGACCCCUCCUGUGCCGCAGCAAACGCAUUCAGUAUCCCGCCUGGGGAGUACGGCCGCAAGGUUGAAACUCAAAUGAAUUGACGGGGACCCGCACAAGCGGUGGAGCAUGUGGAUUAAUUCGAUACUAACCGAAGAACCUUACCCACUCUUGACAUUGAAGGAAAGCUCUAGAGAUAGGGUCCUCUCCCACAAGGAGACCUGAAAAACCAGAUGUUGCAUGGCUGUCGUCAGCUCGUGCCGUGAGGUGUACGGUUAAGUCCGCAACGAGCGCAACCCUCGUUCUGUGUUACCAGCGAGUAAAGUCGGGCACUCACAGGAGACCGCCGGUGUAAGCCGGAGGAAGGUGGGGAUGAUGUCAAGUCAGCAUGGCUCUUACGAGUGGGGCUUCACACAUGCUACAAUGGGCGCAACAAAGGGCCGCGAUACCGUGAGGUGGAGCAAAUCCC
rnacentral:rRNA from 1 species